rnacentral:lncRNA from 1 species
CUGGCAAUCUCACAUCAGUGACAACGGUAACUUCAUCUAGAUACAUUAAAGUAUUUUGAGCUGGCUCCUCCUGUGCAUCACCUGCCUGUUCUUCCUCCUCUUCAUUUUGAUCUUCCAUCACGGAAUCACCAUCAUUUUUUGUUGUGGCCACUAAGUUAUUUGAAGAUUCUUCCUGUGCAUCACCUGCGUAUUCCUCCUCCUUUUCAUUUUGAUCUUCCAUCACGGAAUCACCAACAUUUUUUGCUGUGGCCACUAAGUUAUUUGAAGAUUCUUCAAUUUCCUCAUUUGUCUCAUACAUGGAUGUUGGUCCUGCAUCAUAUAAGUCCUCUGCAUCUUUCUCCUUAACAGGAUCUUCCUUUGAAUUAUCUGCAUCUUCCC